AUUGAACGCUGGCGGCAGGCCUAACACAUGCAAGUCGAGCGGGGUUUUCGGACCUAGCGGCGGACGGGUGAGUAAUGCGUAGGAAGCUGCCCGAUAGAGGGGGAUACCAGUUGGAAACGACUGUUAAUACCGCAUAAUGUCUACGGACCAAAGUGUGGGACCUUCGGGCCACAUGCUAUCGGAUGCGCCUACGUGGGAUUAGCUAGUUGGUGAGGUAAUGGCUCACCAAGGCGACGAUCUCUAGCUGGUUGAGAGGAUGAUCAGCCACACUGGAACUGAGACACGGUCCAGACUCCUACGGGAGGCAGCAGUGGGGAAUAUUGGACAAUGGGCGCAAGCCUGAUCCAGCCAUGCCGCGUGUGUGAAGAAGGCCUUCGGGUUGUAAAGCACUUUCAGCGAGGAGGAAGGGGUGUGUGUUAAUAGUACUCAGCUUUGACGUUACCUACAGAAGAAGCACCGGCUAACUCUGUGCCAGCAGCCGCCGUAAUAC
rnacentral:rRNA from 1 species